rnacentral:rRNA from 1 species
CCUACGGGGGGCAGCAGUGGGGAAUAUUGCACAAUGGGCGCAAGCCUGAUGCAGCCAUGCCGCGUGUGUGAAGAAGGCCUUCGGGUUGUAAAGCACUUUCAGCGGGGAGGAAGGCGGUGAGGUUAAUAACCUCAUCGAUUGACGUUACCCGCAGAAGAAGCACCGGCUAACUCCGUGCCAGCAGCCGCGGUAAUACGGAGGGUGCAAGCGUUAAUCGGAAUUACUGGGCGUAAAGCGCACGCAGGCGGUCUGUCAAGUCGGAUGUGAAAUCCCCGGGCUCAACCUGGGAACGGCAUUCGAAACUGGCAGGCUAGAGUCUUGUAGAGGGGGGUAGAAUUCCAGGUGUAGCGGUGAAAUGCGUAGAGAUCUGGAGGAAUACCGGUGGCGAAGGUGGCCCCCUGGACAAAGACUGACGCUCAGGUGCGAAAGCGUGGGGAGCAGACAGGAUUAGAUACCCGUGUAGUC